CUGCAAGUCUCCUUUACACUAAAACCUUCCUGAUAUGAGGAUCUGAAUUUUCUAAGGACUUGUAUCUAACAUAGAAUUAAGAACUCCAUACACAACCACAAAAAGGGUGGGAAAAAACCUAAGGAUAAAAAUCAGGCAAAUGUUUAAGUAGUUAAUAGCCUUAACUAGUAUAAUUGGAUCCCAAAUAUCCAAUAAUAUUAUUCUCUAGAGAAACAUUACAUUACCGAAAUCAAAAUUAGGGGAGUUGUAAAUACUUCAAAUAAAGUAGUAGUGCAUUUGUAGAUCAAAGAACACAAACACACCGUCCAUGUGAUUUUUAUCAAGAGAAUUAAAUGCUAGAAAGAAAACAUAGAAAAUGAGCACAACUGGCGGAAAAAUUAACUAAUGAAAAAACGCUUGAACAAAUGGAAAACUCUCUGGGGCAAAUUAAAGAAAAACAGUUGUGGCAGAAAACUUUCGAGAGAUUAUCAAUAUUGUUCCAGGAAAAUGAAUAAACAUAAAGCCGAACUCGAAACACUAAUGGAAUAAACAUAGAAGCUCAAUAACUAGGAAAUAGAAAUCAUCUUUUAACCAGGGAUGUGUAAUGAAUAAUCUCACUCUAAAAAUAAGAAAUAUAUUGUAGAGAUUAUGAAUUUAUUUCUCAGUUUGUUUUGACUUCAUGUAGCAUAUAAGGCAGAGUAAUUGUACAUGCA
rnacentral:lncRNA from 1 species